rnacentral:lncRNA from 1 species
AGGCUGCUAAGAGCAUUGUUGCAAACGGGCUUGCUCGCAGGUGCAUUGUCCAAGUCUCCUAUGCCAUUGGUGUGCCUGAGCCAUUGUCUGUUUUUGUGGACUCAUAUGGAACCGGCAAGAUUCCUGACAAGGAGAUCCUCAAAAUUGUGAAGGAAAGCUUUGAUUUCAGGCCAGGAAUGAUGACCAUCAAUUUGGAUCUCAAAAGGGGCGGUAAUGGCAGGUUCUUGAAGACUGCUGCCUAUGGACACUUUGGCAGGGAUGACCCAGACUUCACUUGGGAAGUUGUGAAGCCCCUCAAGUGGGAAAAGCCUCAAGCUUAAAUUUGAGUUGAAAAGUGAAAACUAUCCCUGCUGUUCAAGUUUGCUUCUAUUGGUAGUGGAUGAAUAAUUUGAAUAUUAUCUUGCUGCUGCUUUGUAAUACUAAGCAAAUCUCCUGUGUUCAGAACUCAUACAUGUUCCCCAUUCAAUUCCUUUCUUUUUCUUCUUUCCCCACUUCUUUUUUGGUUUUGGUUUAAUGUACCAUGUCACCACUGUUGUGUAGUGAUAUCGAUUGAGAAUUUUGCUCAACUGGUGCCUGGAAUUAGUAAAAUUCUUCCUUUUGCUUACGACUAUUUUUGGAAUGUAGAAUGAAGGCAGCAGCGAGUUGUAUUAAUUUGUAACUUUGGCUAAAGCCAAUAGUUGUUUUGCUUAUUAAUAUCACUCUAUGUGUGUGCGGUUUGCCUAAACAUUUUUUUCUUCUUGUCUCAUUGAUCAUUGUCGGUUGAACGGCGCAAUAGAGCCCCAAUCCUUAAUUCCAGAAGAAGCCAAAGUAUGCCUCUAGACAGCUAACGGUUGGCUGCCUUUUUCUUGCGGGGCUUCUAGUCUUUACCCCCCUCAUCUUCCAUUUUCAACAGUCUUGUCUGCUUAAAUUUGUUGGCAUUAUUUUAAAGCGCAUUAUGCAACAAAAUGGCAGGUUGAUGUAUGUAAUGCGUAGCUUUGCAAGUAGGCAAAACCAUUUUUUUUUUUAACCCUGCAAAAAGAUUUUUAUGGUGAUUUCUUAAUCCUCAAUGACAUGUCAUUGAUGCAUCACCGUUUCAAACGAUAAAUUGGUGGAUUCACGACCAACAAAUCAGAGCUGGAAAACCUUUCCUUUCCAUUGGAAAAGGACACCCAAAGAACUGAAGAAGUACGAAUUUGAUAUUUGAUAAUGAAACACGAGAGACUUGCAAAUUACUACUAUUAAAACUGGUUACUACAAAUGAGAUAGUCUGAUUAAUUUAAACGAAAAGCUAGCUAGCCUUUCUUUCGUCUCCUAAUUGUGGUGUCUUUGAUCAUGCUGGAUACUUGCAGGUGCCCCAAGCUGCCAAAAUACACAUGAAAAUGAAAAAAAUCAAAGUCAGUAACAGCCCAAACAUCUGCCAGCAAAGUAGAAACAAUUGUGUCCAUAUGCAGUUGCGAAACACUAACAUGGAUUCUGGGUGACGAUGAGACCAGUGCCAUUGAAGUGGCAGUUCCAGUAAUUCUUGCCAGCUGACUUGUAAAAGAGAUUCAUAGCAAAAGAAGCAUGCGAUAUGAUACUGUCUGGAUUGAAGCAGCUGCCACCUGGCUGAAUUGGCCUACAGUCCACUCCCUUCUGCCGACAGCUGUAAUCAAUGUUGUGAUUGAGGCUCUCAUCGUCUGUUGAUGGCUUAGCAAUGCACCAGCUGGUCACCACGCCUUCAUUUCUCUACAAUUAAAUUAAACAUUAUUUGAAUUAACCCCAACCCCUUCUCCCCAAAAAAAAAAGAAAAAAGAAGAAUUGCUGUUCCAAUUAUGCUUGGAACAGUGGAAGACUUACCCUCUCUUCUUGGACUCUUCCAUUAGAAUGCGUACUACUUAACUCCGCAUGCCCUAAACCCACAUUUACCAUGUAGUGUUAAAAGUUGAGUAGGCUAACUGCAGCUAAAAUCAAAUACAAACAUACAAAGCUAGGCCUAGGCAGCUGCUGCUUUAAAAAAUUUCAUCUAAUUAAUUAAUUAGCAUUGCUUAACGAAAUUAAAUAUUAAAGCGUGUAUAAGAAAAGUAAUGGCGAAGAAAACGCACCUGAACAAUCCGCAAACCAGAACAGCAAAGCUAAUGCUAGAAGGAAAAACGCCAAAGCGUGUCUUGUGCCCUCCAUUGUUGUGUUGCGUUGGUGCCUAAUGCUACCUCGCUGGGGAAUGUGCAAGUAAAUAUUGAGGAGAUUGGUACUUAUAGUGAAACGAGAGAGUGCAUUACAGAUGGAGAUGGGUACAAAAUAUAUAAAAUAUAAACAAUGCCCUUUGAGUAACAUUCACGGAUAUAAGAACUGGGGGAGAUUCUAGGGAUUAAUCGCAUUGCAUUAUGCUAAUGCGUGGUUUAUCAUCAAAGGAAAAACGAUGGACGGAUAACUAAACGUUGAGAUAAGUAACAGCUGUCUUUUGCUUUGUUGUCAUUCAUGCAGCUUCUGAGUUACUGUCUCUCAGUCCAGACUCAGCUUUCCAAUGCAGAGCCACUGUCUCUCAGUCCGUGACUGUUUGUUUCAUUUGUUUGUUUUUUCUCUUCUGUUUAGCAAACACCAAUACAAUGAACA